rnacentral:rRNA from 1 species
GGGUCAGUAGGUUGGUCGUGCCACCGGUACGUACUGGUCUCACUGGUUCCUCCUUCCUGAAGAACCGUAAUGCCAUUAAUUUGGUGUUGCGGGGAAACAGGACUGUUACUUUGAAAAAAUUAGAGUGUUUAAAGCAAGCUAACGCUUGAAUACAUUAGCAUGGAGUAAUGAAAUAGGACGAUCGAUCCUAUUUUGUUGGUUUCUAGGAUUGACGUA